AGUGAACGCUGGCGGUAGGCCUAACACAUGCAAGUCGAACGGCAGCACAGUAAGAGCUUGCUCUUACGGGUGGCGAGUGUCGGACGGGUGAGGAAUACAUCGGAAUCUACUUUUUCGUGGGGGAUAACGUAGGGAAACUUACGCUAAUACCGCAUACGACCUACGGGUGAAAGCAGGGGAUCUUCGGACCUUGCGCGAUUGAAUGAGCCGAUGUCGGAUUAGCUAGUUGGCGGGGUAAAGGCCCACCAAGGCGACGAUCCGUAGCUGGUCUGAGAGGAUGAUCAGCCACACUGGAACUGAGACACGGUCCAGACUCCUACGGGAGGCAGCAGUGGAGAAUAUUGGACAAAGGGCGCAAGCCUGAUCCAGCCAUACCGCGUGGGUGAAGAAGGCCUUCGGGUUGUAAAGCCCUUUUGUUGGGAAAGAAAAGCAGCAGGUUAAUACCCCGCUGUUCUGACGGUACCCAAAGAAUAAGCACCGGCUAACUUCGUG
rnacentral:rRNA from 1 species